rnacentral:lncRNA from 1 species
UAUAAUUCGUCAUGUAAAAGGUGUUUCUAUCAACUAUUGAGAUUUGGUGGCUGUGAAAGAUCCUCAAGAGGCUUUUUCAUCAACGAGUGGUGAAAAUCCCAUUUUUCGAGAAAUGUAAAAUAUCAUGCGAACAAGAGCAUCAAUAAUUUUUUUCUCAUGAAAGAGUAUCAGCUAGAGAAAUGGUUAGCCGACGUAGUAGUGCAAUAAUGAUGAAUCCGAUUCUAAAACGGCAAUAAAUUCUUUUAAGUCACUAAUUAAGUUUGAAUGCCCAUGAAGUCACAAGAAUUGAGCAUCAAAGAUUUAAUGUACUUUCUGGGACUCCAUGGCUGUUUUCAAGCCCACAUGAAGGGUGACAGACUCCCAUCUCAAUAUCUAGAAGCCCUAAUAUGACAGGCGCAUUUUAUCAUUAUACUCCUGGAAAGGUAAUAAAAAAAAGGUUUCACUGGUGCCCAAAACACAUAUUAGUAGCAGCUGGCUAACUUGCUUAAGGCCAGAAAAUCUGAUGUUUAGAUCCUUAGCCCUAGGUUGACGCACUACUGUCGAACAGCAUGUAGACCCUCACUACGACUCCUGCACAUGAGAUUCUCUUUCUCUACUGCCUGCCUAGUCAAGAUAAUUGUGAUCUCAACCUGAUUCCCUGGUUUGAUUUAUGCAGAGGUUAAACGGUGGAUGCUUUUUAGUCUAAUUACACUAGAAAUUAAGCCAUGUUCCCCAACCGAGAGGAUAGAGUGCAUGUGCUACUUUGUAAACUAUGGUGUCCACCUUCAAAAUGAAAAAUCAUUUUUUAAAAAUUUUCUGUUCUCAAUUUUGACAGACAUGAAAAUCCUUGUGCAUUUGGUUUCCCGAAAAUAUCUACUGUCUGUGCCUGUGAAUGUCUAGUGAUCUGGAAUGUGUGUUGAAUAUUUUGAAGCUUUAGAUACAAAAUAAACCGCGUAUAGAUUAAUAUUCUGUUCAAUUGAUUUGUGUUGUACAGAGGAAACUGAGAUGAAAUUCACUAAGACAUAGAUAAGGGGUAGAAAUUGAGGUGCUAUGUAUCCCUAUCACCUUCAAAUAUUCAAAGAACCGAACCUUACAGGACUUUGGAAGAUAUUUCUUAAGGAAACUCCAUCAAAGAUUUUCCUCUCUCUCUGAAGGGAGUAGAUUCAAUUCCAACAGUAGACCAAAAAAUGGUUUCAGUACUUCCCUAAGGAGCCUGACACUCGUUUGGUCUUUAAUCAGUACUUUCCAAAUGGAUUCUUUAGCGAACCUCCCCUCUGGUUCUCCAUUUCCUCUUGGCCCGAAUGGUGGCUCAGUUAAGAAUUGGCAAGGCCUCCCUCUCACCUGACACAGAGUAUAAAAUACUAGAUGCCAAGAGGAAUACAUUUUUGUCCUGCCUAAAAUAAUCUCAAUUGAUUGACAUCUCUAAGAAUUUUUUACGCUUAUGAAUUGUCAGCAAUACGUACUGGAG